GCACUCUUAGUGUAGUGGUAACAUGCUCCCUCAUACAUUGGGAGCGUCUGGGGUUGAUUCCCCGUGGGUGCC